AGCCACACCAAUUUUAUCAUGCGAUUAGAAAUCAAAGUUCCAUGAAAAUUUUUGUACAGGGUAAUUCUGCCCAACCUACAAGUUCAGACUAGAAUCAGGAAACAAACAUUAGCAUCUCAAAGAAAUUGUACACAGGAGCAAAAUAGCUAAUGGAGCUAACAGCUAUAUGAAGCUACUGCCUACCUCUUUGAUUCGAUUUCUCUGACACUUUGCACUAUGUCCUCAAUGUUUCUUGAUAGGUGAUUGGAAUGCUCCUCCAUUUCUCUCAAAACCAUGUAAAGCUGUUCUUGAUAAGCUGCAGACCGCUUGCGCUCUCGUUGUAACUCAGCAGUCAAUUCCCGAAUCUUUACAUCUUUCUCAUCAGGGGUUUGAGAUAAAAGCACACUUCGACGACCAUUAGAAGGUAUGGCUACCAGUGGAUGAUUAUGCUCCUUUACAAAUCUUGUUACAACCCAUUUUCCUGUUUUCUCUUUCUUUACCACUAUCAUGGCCUUACAUCCUUCUCGUGUUAUUGCUCGAGGCUUCCUAUUUUCACUUCUUCUAGGCCUUAACUUGCGAAAUCCUUCUUUAUUACACACAAGCCGACGCCAAACAACCUUCCCAUCACGCAUUGAUCGUCGAAAUGCAUCAACUCUCAUGAUGAAUCCCAAGCGUGUAGCAUAUGCAUCAUAAAACACCUUGGCAGCCUCUUCAGAUUCAAACUCCAUACCUACAUAUGGUUCCAUAUCAGAACUUCCUUCACUUGUGGUUACCUCUUUACCAUCAGAACUCUCUACAAUGUGAUUCACAUCCCCAUCCUCACUCAUAGAAGGGUGUUCAUCCAUUGGAACAAAGAGAGGGAGAGAGACGACGAAGCCUUCUGAAUUGGAGACCUUACGAACGAUUUUUAGCUUUGGGAGUCUCGGAGAGAGAGCUCAGACGAGGUGGAAGACAAACGGGUGCGGUCACAGAAAGAUCGGACGGAU
rnacentral:misc_RNA from 1 species